UACGUAGGGUGCGAGCGUUAAUCGGAAUUACUGGGCGUAAAGCGUGCGCAGGCGGUUCGUUAUGUCCGAUGUGAAAGCCCCCGAGCUCAACUUGGGGAAUGGCAUUGGAAACUGGCGGGCUGGAGUGUGGCAGAGGGGGGUGGAAUUCCACGUGUAGCAGUGAAAUGCGUAGAGAUGUGGAGGAACACCGAUGGCGAAGGCAGCCCCCUGGGCCAACACGUGACGCCUCAGGCACGAAAGCGUGGGGAGCAAACAGG
rnacentral:rRNA from 1 species